GACAGAGGGUGCAAACGUUGUUCGGAAUUACUGGGCGUAAAGCGCGUGUAGGCUGCUCGGAAAGUCGGAUGUGAAAGCCCUGGGCUCAACCUAGGAAGUGCAUUCGAAACUUCCGAGCUGGAGUGCUGGAGAGGAAGGCGGAAUUCUCGGUGUAGAGGUGAAAUUCGUAGAUAUCGAGAGGAACACCGGUGGCGAAGGCGGCCUUCUGGACAGUCACUGACGCUGAGACGCGAAAGCGUGGGGAGCAAACAGGAUUAG
rnacentral:rRNA from 1 species